GAUGAACGCUGGCGGCGUGCCUAAUACAUGCAAGUCGAGCGAACAGACGAGGAGCUUGCUCCUCUGACGUUAGCGGCGGACGGGUGAGUAACACGUGGAUAACCUACCUAUAAGACUGGGAUAACUUCGGGAAACCGGAGCUAAUACCGGAUAAUAUAUUGAACCGCAUGGUUCAAUAGUGAAAGACGGUUUUGCUGUCACUUAUAGAUGGAUCCGCGCCGCAUUAGCUAGUUGGUAGGUAACGGCCUACCAAGGCAACGAUGCGUAGCCGACCUGAGAGGGUGAUCGGCCACACUGGAACUGAGACACGGUCCAGACUCCUACGGGAGGCAGCAGUAGGGAAUCUUCCGCAAUGGGCGAAAGCCUGACGGAGCAACGCCGCGUGAGUGAUGAAGGUCUUCGGAUCGUAAAACUCUGUUAUUAGGGAAGAACAAAUGUGUAAGUAACUAUGCACGUCUUGACGGUACCUAAUCAGAAAGCCACGGCUAACUACGUG
rnacentral:rRNA from 1 species